rnacentral:rRNA from 1 species
CAGUCGCCACGGGAAUACGAAGGGUGCAAGCGUUAAUCGGAAUUACUGGGCGUAAAGCGCGCGUAGGUGGUUUGGUAAGAUGGAUGUGAAAUCCCCGGGCUCAACCUGGGAACUGCAUCCAUAACUGCCUGACUAGAGUACGGUAGAGGGUGGUGGAAUUUCCUGUGUAGCGGUGAAAUGCGUAGAUAUAGGAAGGAACACCAGUGGCGAAGGCGACCACCUGGACUGAUACUGACACUGAGGUGCGAAAGCGUGGGGAGCAAACAGGAUUAGAUACCCCGGUAGUCCCUGUCUCUUAUAA